ACAAUGUCAGUGUGGUCCUGCCUGUGCCUGGGCAGGUUCUAUGGAUCCCGAGAGCCUACACUGACAGGUACAGUGUGACAAGUCCAUUCUCACACUCCUUUUCUCGCUGGGACCACUGCUACAGCCUUCAUUUACACAGUGCUGUGUGGUAUCAUUUGACUUCACAUGAUGCUCUCAUAUCUUUUCUGCGCGAAGUUCAUCUCUGUAUUUUUCUCUAUAGUGGGGUUUACCUGGCUUCAAUUCAUCAGAAAUUCACAUACAAACGGGGGAGGCACUGAGACGACGUGGGUGCACCUUGAUAUUAUAAUUAGGUAUCCCAACAUUCCAGGACAGGCUUGUAAAACAUUUUCAAUUAUCAUUAACACGAAACCAAAACGUCUGAGUUUGUAAUCUAAUGAGAACCCAAGGAACCUCAAGGACACAUCCUCAGCCCUGGAUUGGGAAAUCCAUAGCACAAAAUGAAUGUGAUGGUGCUACACGAGGAAAGCAAAAAGUGUGGUGGGGACACGGAAGAGAGGUCAUGCUGUAUCUCAGAAGCCAUCUGGGCCAUUACCGGGCAUACCAAAUCAUGGAUUUAGUAAGUUUAAGUACAUGCUUCCAAAGAACUUAUGUGUAAAUACCACUGAAGAGCCUUACUUAAUUCCAGCAGGUUGCUGGGGUCUCACCUCAGCCCCCUCCCACUCCUCAGUCCUUAAGAACUAAAACGUGGCACUUCAAACAUGACAAAUCCAGGCUUCAGGAUUCAAAGAACGAUUUCCAGUAUAAGUUCACCUCACUAUAAGGUGCUACAAUUGCAUAUCAACAUUGUGUAGUCUGUACCACCUGAAAAACUGGGCGCAAAGCCCCGCCAAAUGCUGCUGCAGUUAGGUUAACUAAACUAAAUCAAUGGCCUGAUUUCCCAGAAAAAGAGUAACGAGCAUUGUUUAAGGAAACUGCAAAAGAGGAACCUCUCCUUGAGUAGAAUCCUCGACUUUAGGCCCUCCCAAACAGCAUAAUUCAAUGGCCAUUAACUCAACCUUUUUAGUAAGCUAAAUAUGUCCUGGUUAGAAGGUGCUCUUUAAUCUGAGAUAUUGAUCUUCCAACAUUUUUGGUGCUAAAAUAUCUUUUUU
rnacentral:lncRNA from 10 species